CUUGAUUACAAAGUGCUAUUGAAGAUUUCCAUAUGAAUAGAGCAUCUGCUGGGUAUCCUGUCCAGAAGGAAUCUCCAGUAAAGGGCAUACUCAUCUCUAUCAUUUUUGUCAGCAAGUAACCAGAAGGAAGAGAUUUAUAAAGCAGAUGUCAGAAUGUCAAAUCUGCCUUCAGCUGAUUUUCUGUGGGAUAGUUCUCCAGCCAACCUUCAGAGGACCUAUGCAAAGCUAGGAAAGACCCUUUGGAGCCCUGCAAGGUUCAACUCAGGCAGAAGGACCCACCCUCCCCAUGGGCAACAGAUAUUUU